rnacentral:rRNA from 1 species
GACGAACGCUGGCGGCGUGCCUAAUACGUGCAAGUCGAGCGGACAGAAGGGAGCUUGCUCCCGGAAGUUAGCGGCGGACGGGUGAGUAACACGUGGGCAACCUACCCUGUAGAUCGGGAUAACAUCGAGAAAUCGGUGCUAAUACCGGAUAAUCAUUUGAAGUGCAUGCUUCGAAUGUAAAAGAUGGCUCCGGCUAUCACUACGGGAUGGGCCCGCGGCGCAUUAGCUAGUUGGUAAGGUAAUGGCUUACCAAGGCAACGAUGCGUAGCCGACCUGAGAGGGUGAUCGGCCACACUGGGACUGAGACACGGCCCAGACUCCUACGGGAGGCAGCAGUAGGGAAUCUUCCGCAAUGGACGAAAGUCUGACGGAGCAACGCCGCGUGAGUGAUGAAGGUUUUCGGAUCGUAAAGCUCUGUUGUUAGGGAAGAACAAGUGCCGUUUGAAUAAGGCGGCACCUUGACGGUACCUAACCAGAAAGCCACGGCUAACUACGUGCCAGCAGCCGCCGUAAAAC